GCCUAUAUAGCUUCAGUGGUUAGAGCACUGGUCUUGUAAACCAGGGGUCGUGAGUUCAAAUCUCACUGGAGGCU
rnacentral:tRNA from 1 species